UACGUAGGGGGGCAAGCGUUAUCCGGAAUGAUUGGGCGUAAAGCGUCUGUAGGUGGCUUUUUAAGUCCGCCGUCAAAUCCCAGGGCUCAACCCUGGACAGGCGGUGGAAACUACCAAGCUGGAGUACGGUAGGGGCAGAGGGAAUUUCCGGUGGAGCGGUGAAAUGCGUAGAGAUCCGGAGGAACACCAAAGGCGAAGGCAGUGUCCUGGGGAGUACCUGACGCUCAGGUGCGAAAGCCAGGGGAGCGAACGGG
rnacentral:rRNA from 1 species